CACUGUCCAUGGUCCUAAUAAUUCAGCAUUUCAGAUCUAGAUCACCAACAGUAGUGCCCUUUCUGGACAGUGUGCUGGGACAGUUUUUACCUUGAGUUAUCUUCAUCUGCAGCUGGAUGAAAUAUAGCUUAACUUCAAACAAGAGAGAGGCUGAUUUACAGCAGGCAGAAGUGAUAGGGAAAAAUGAGAGAAAAGAGGAACAAAAAGAUAAUUAAUACAAGCCAGAACCAGUGCAGAAGUAAACCUAAAAAAAAAAAAAAAAAAAAAAAAAACAGUUUUGAGAAAAAGCAAAAGAAAAGGAGAAAAUACCUGUAACGACAGAUUUAGACCGGCAGGGAAUCUGAAUCAUUUAAUUAAAGAAACAAGCUGGUUUUAUACAGUUCUUCAAGGCACAGUGUUUCCUUACAUGGUAAUUCUCAUGACGUGACCUAUCCCACAUUGCCAUGUCAGCCACACGUGCUCUAAAUGUCCUUCCAUGGGGUGAUCACACGCUGUUCACCUGUCUGUCAGCUCCUGGCAGGCUCCUCUCGUAUAUGGGUAAAGUUUUAUAAAAGAAAGGCCUUGUAAAAUCAGGCCUUGUUACUUUGGCUAAGCUAACAGCUAAUCUGGUAAGUUCCCGUGAGAAAAGAGUUAUAAGAAUGAGAAUCAGUUUGCAUAAGAAUCUAUUCUUGUGAGAGGAUGGCUCACUCUUAUGGAGUGGAAAAUUCUACCCAUGUGAAACAUUCACUUUCCAGGAGAUAAAAAUGUGAACAUUUCUAGAAAGGGAAAAGUUUGAUGGACAUGUACACUAGCGAUUACCAGCCAAUGAACUGAGUUUCAACAAAUUGCUGACCAAUUAGAUUUAAACACGGUGCCUUCUGAUAAUGAUAUAAAUAAUGAUAAUGAGCUAUGUGAAUAAAGAUGCAGCUGUUCUGCAUGAAGAAACAAGUGUCUUGUCCAUCUCUAUUGUGACAUCCUCUCCCACAGGGCUCUGCUGCGUGACGCCUCCUCCCCCCAAGGUCAUGCAGAGACAAGCUGCCAUGUGCUGCCGUGUGCCGCUACUUUGUGCUGCCAUGUGCUUCUUGUGCUGCCAUGUGUUGUUCUGUGCUGCCAUGUGCUUCUGCAGGCAUGUCCCACAGCCCGUGGCUCAACUCCAUCCCAUCUCUUCCCACAGAUACGUGUCAGAAAGAAGGGACACGCAAGACUUGUAUAUCAGUCACUUUAGUAGCUGAAUUUCCCAUAAACUUCCACUGAGAUCCGAUUAGCUCUGCAGGGAGCAAUAAUCUCCUCAGAUGUUGUACUUCAAGCCCUCUCUGGAUAUUUGAUUCUGUGAACAGCUGCUGAACAUUCAGAUUGAUUGCUUUUCCUUCACAUACUACUGAAGAGUUCAUUUAUUCCGCUGCAGUCUGGUGGGAUUUAUAUUUGAGUACUAUCCUGAGCCUGUGUUCCAGCCCAAAGCUCUUCAAAGUGCAUCCACGCUGCUCAGACUUGGCCCUGUGCUCAACAGCAGACCUUAGGAGACCUCGGGGGUCCAGAAGAGGCAUAUGCUGAGAGCACUGAAUGAAUAUCUUUGGAGUGCAGAGAGUGUGGACAGGUCUGUUCCAGUCUGGUAGCAGCAUUGGAUGGUCAGUGUUGGGCUCCUUCAUCCAUCAGCAUAGCACACAGAUGUCUCACUUUAGAUGAAGGAAGAAACUGGAUUUUCUACCAAGAUGAGUGGAAGUGCAGUAAGACCUCGGUGCCAGUACUGCCCAACUGCAGGAAGGGCUGGGCUCAGCUGUCCUGGCUGGUGUUGGAGAUCCCUGCUCAGGAGAGGAGCGUGCUUUGGGCUUUGCAUCAGUGCCUGCCUGACCAGAAAGAGGCCACUUCUUGGGGAUGACUGCCCCCUCCAUCAAGGAAAAGGUCCAUGAGGUUAAAGCCAAGUGGAAACGUCCUUAUAUGUGUAUUAGUACCUGGACUGAAGUUGGGUCAUCUUGGCCUUCUGCAUUUCGUUGUCUUCAUGUUCUGAAUAAAUGGAGCUUGUUACAGAUGGAGACCGUACUGCUCCUAGGCAAGGACCAAUGAUACUUUUGACAGUACAAAAUGACCACAGCCAAUUCAAGUGUUCAGCUGCCAAAGUCAUACCUGAAAAUAUGCUGCUCUCUGGGCAAAGAAAGCAGAAGUGCUUUCUGCACUGCCUCUCUCACUGUUUGCCUCAGUUUUAGCCUUGGAAGACACCCAGUGCUUUAAAGACCUAGGCAGAUGGGGUAGAACUAAUCCAAAUAAAUCAAUUAAGAGGUCCACAUCUGA